ensembl:processed_transcript 4933439C10Rik RIKEN cDNA 4933439C10 gene
AGGGAAGGAUUGAGGAGCAGCAGGAGCAGGGUGUUUUAGGCCAGGAGAACUAUGGGGUUUCUGUCGCUUGCACUCUUUCAGAUUUGCUGGCUCUUUCCCUCGAAGCCCGGGACAGCAGGCGAGCAGAUCCUCACCUUCCAGCUCGGUCUCUCUGGUGUCUUGGCAGAGGCGGCUCCAAUGCAUGGGCCAGACUCGGUCCCCGGCCAGGCCAACCCUGUCUCGGGAUCCUCUAGAAUGCAUCAGCUGGGCUUGGGAGCGAAGGGAGACGCCUGGAAGAGAAUCGUAUUGCUUCAUCCCCGAGGGCACCUAUAAGGACGCGGCUCUGAGAGCAGGGAUCUGGGCCCGGACGCGGGAAGAGGAGCACAGGGAGCAGGACCCAGGCGCGGGCUGCGGAUCAGAGCGCGGGAAGUGGGGAGCGGGAUCCGGGUUCAGGCAGCGGGGCAUGGAAAGCCGGGCCACGGUAUACUCACCGCUGCGCAGCGUCCCGGUUGGCGGGCCGCGCAGGCCGGGCCGCCGCGGAAAGGAAAGGCCGGAGCCCUCCGGCUCCCUCCCCUGGGACACUUCCUGCACCGCUCUAGGACCGAGGAGGUCUCCUCAUCUCAGUGGUUCGCUUCCCCGCCUCCUGGCCGAGGUGUACGCGGGGGGUGACAUCCGACACCCCCGGCCCGCCUGGACCGCCCCGCCCCGCCCCGCUCCGUGCUCUCCCGGCCUGGGCGCGGGGCCCGGGCUUUAGCUUUGUGGGCCUUCCUAGCGGGCUCGGGAUGCGCGCGCGACCCGGCGGGACCCGGGCGCUGGGGGCCAGUUCGCGCGGCCACCAGCCAGAGAGGAGGCCGGCCUGGGGCUUCGCUCUUCCCUGCUCCUCUUGUGUGGGCGCAGGGAAGGGCUGGUCUGGCGACGCUGGCGAAAUGCCAGAAUUGGGAGGAGGAGGGAUGAGGUGUAAGGGGAUCUCCCUGUGACCAUUCGCAUCCCUUGUGUGCCGUUGUGCCCCAAUCCCUUCCAGCCACAAUUCCAUUUCAAAGGCAACGCUGCCAGAGUCACCCAAAUCAGUACGGCUGGAGAAAUGCAGACCCAGCGAUCCGCGGUGCUCGCCGAAGCAUCGGCCCGCGCCUUCGUGGCUUGGAGAUGAUCUACAAUUUCUCUGUUUAAGGAAGACUGUAGCACUCUGGGUCCCUCUGAGCAACCAGGACAGUCCUGGUACAUGGUAGGAAUUCAGUUCCCUUAAAGAAGGUGGUUUGAUAGAGACACCCCACCACCGGCGGACUUCGGGCUUCCGUUUCCUUCUAAUAACUGGGACGAUCACUUCCGACUAGUAGAGCCUGGAAUAGGGACUAAUAGAUUGGGUUCGGGAAUCAGAACACCUGUGUUAAAUCAUACCCAUCUAAGCGCAGUCAGGUGAUCUAAGGCCUGCGUGACCUCUCUGUGCGUCAGGGAUCACACUUGGAUGCGUGUGUAAGCUGUGCUGUAGCUAGUUCAGGUACUGAAUCUUUAGAACUUGCUGGAACUCGUUGCCUUGGUCUAUUUUGGCAGCAUGGCAUAAAACCAGGAAUGAUGAUGCACACCUGUAACCUCAUUACUCCUAGACUGGGGGCUGGAGGGUCAGGUGUUGGAGGUCACGGUCUCCUGUAUAGGGGUCAGCUUGAGUCUGGGGUCAGCUUGAAUGACAUGAUACCCGGUCUGAAAAUAAAGAUGCAAAUUGAUGAGAUGUGGAGCAACAUUUUCAUGCACGCAUGCAGUUGAGUAAUCCCGCGUAUACCCACCUCCCCACAUCCUUCCCGGCCCCCAGGAAGCUCCAGCAGACUUACAGACUGACUAUUGUUUUGAGAUUAGGGUCUCACUGUGUAGCCCUGACUGGCUUGGAAUUCACAGAUCUGCUUGCUUCUGCCUCCUGAGCUGUGGGAUUAAAAGCAUGUGCCACCAUA